rnacentral:rRNA from 1 species
UACGAAGGGGGCUAGCGUUGCUCGGAAUCACUGGGCGUAAAGGGUGCGUAGGCGGGUCUUUAAGUCAGGGGUGAAAUCCUGGAGCUCAACUCCAGAACUGCCUUUGAUACUGAGGAUCUUGAGUUCGGGAGAGGUGAGUGGAACUGCGAGUGUAGAGGUGAAAUUCGUAGAUAUUCGCAAGAACACCGGUGGCGAAGGCGGCGACCUGGUCCGUGACUGACGCUGAGGCGCGAAAGCGUGGGGAGCAAACAG